rnacentral:rRNA from 1 species
GACGAACGCUGGCGGCGUGCUUAACACAUGCAAGUCGAACGGUAAGGCCCUUCGGGGUACACGAGUGGCGAACGGGUGAGUAACACGUGGGUGAUCUGCCCUGCACUUCGGGAUAAGCCUGGGAAACUGGGUCUAAUACCGGAUAGGACCACUGCCUGCAUGGGUGGUGGUGGCAAGCUUUUGCGGUGUGGGAUGGGCCCGCGGCCUAUCAGCUUGUUGGUGGGGUGAUGGCCUACCAAGGCGACGACGGGUAGCCGGCCUGAGAGGGUGACCGGCCACACUGGGACUGAGAUACGGCCCAGACUCCUACGGGAGGCAGCAGUGGGGAAUAUUGCACAAUGGCGCAAGCCUGAUGCAGCGACGCCGCGUGAGGGAUGACGGCCUUCGGGUUGUAAACCUCUUUCAGCACCGACGAAGCGCAAGUGACGGUAGGUGCAGAAGAAGGACCGGCCAACUACGUGCCAGCCGCCGCGGUAA